rnacentral:rRNA from 1 species
GAUGAACGCUGGCGGCGUGCCUAAUACAUGCCAGUCGAGCGAACAGACGAGGAGCUUGCUCCUCUGACGUUAGCGGCGGACGGGUGAGUAACACGUGGAUAACCUACCUAUAAGACUGGGAUAACUUCGGGAAACCGGAGCUAAUACCGGAUAAUAUAUUGAAGCGCAUGGUUCAAUAGUGAAAGACGGUUUUUGUGGCACUCAUAGAUGGAUCCGCGCCGCAUUAGCUAGUUGGUAAGGUAACGGCUUACCAAGGCAACGAUGCGUAUCCGACCUGAGAGGGUGGUCGGCCACCUGGGAACUGAGCCACGGUCCAGACUCCUACGGGAGGCCGCAGUAGGGAAUCUUCCGCAAUGGGGGAAAGCUUGACGGAGCAACGCCGCGUGAGUGAUGAAGGUCUUCGGAUCGUAAAACUCUGUUAUUAGGGAAGAACAAAUGUGUAAGUAGCUAUGCACGUCUUGACGGUACCUAAUCAGAAAGCCACGGCUAACUACGUG